rnacentral:rRNA from 1 species
AUACGUAGGUGACAAGCGUUAUCCGGAUUUACUGGGCGUAAAGGGCGUGUAGGCGGUCUUGCAAGUCAGAAGUGAAAUUCCUGAGCUCAACUCGGGCGCUGCUUCUGAAACUGCAGGACUUGAGUGCUGGAGGGGAUAGCGGAAUUCCUAGUGGAGCGGUAAAAUGCGCAGAUAUUAGGAAGAACACCGGUGGCGAAGGCGGCUAUCUGGACAGUAACUGACGCUGAGGCGCGAAAGCGUGGGGAGCAGACAGGAUUAGAUACCCUGGUAGUCCACGCCGUAAACGGUGAAUACUAGGUGUAGGGGGUAUCGACUCCCUCUGUGCCGCAGUUAACACAAUAAGUAUUCCGCCUGGGGAGUACGGCCGCAAGGUUGAAACUCAAAGGAAUUGACGGGG